rnacentral:rRNA from 1 species
AUUUUUUUUAUUAAUUUUUAAUGAUUAAUUUAACAUGUUUGAGUUUUAGUAGGUUAAUUGAAAAAAUUAAAGUAUUUAUAGAAAAUUAGUAUAGUGAUAGAAAUAACUAAAAAUUUUUUAAAGAAUUUUUUAUUUGAAGUACCUUGUGUAUCAGGGUUUAUUAAAUUUUAUAAUUUAUAUUAAAGUCUCGAUUCUAAAAGAGUUAAUUUUAUAAAAUUUUUAUUGUAUAAUAACUAUUUUAAAUAUAAUAUUAGUAAUGAAAAGUUAAGCGAUUUUGGAUAUAUCUAGUUAUUAAAGAAAAAAAUUUAAUUUUAUUAUAAUUAUGUAUUAAUAUUAAUUUCAAUAUAAAUAUUAAUUAUAUUAAAAAUUUUUGGGGAUUAGCUUAGAAAUUUAUUUAUAAAAAUUUAUAUUAAAAGAUAAAUUUAUAGAAUUAGAAUUUUUUAUUUUAAUAUUUUAUAAUUAAUUUAUUUUAUAUUAUGAUUUAUUGAGUUUUAUUUAUUUAUUUAAUUAUUUCAAUUAAUUUUUAAUUAAAAGUAAUAAUGAUAAAAUUAGUAUAAGAUUUUUUUGUAAAAUUAUUUAUUUAGAAAAGAUUAAGUAAAGGAAUUCGGCAAAUUUAUUUUUCGCCUGUUUAUUAAAAACAUGUCUUUUUGAAUAUAAUUUAAAGUCUAAUCUGCCCAUUGAGGGAUUAAAAGGCCGCAGUAUUUUGACUGUGCAAAGGUAGCAUAAUAAUUAGUUUUUUAAUUGAAAGCUAGAAUGAAUGAUUGGACGAGAAAAUAGCUGUCUCUAUUUAAAAUUUUAAAAUUUUAUUUUUAAGUUAAAAAGCUUAAAUUUUUAUGAAAGACGAGAAGACCCUUUAGAGUUUUAUAUAUUAUUAUUAUUAGUUAGUUAGUAUAAAUUGAUUAUUAGUUGGAUUAUAUUUUAUUGGGGUGAUAUAAAAAUUUAAUUAACUUUUUAAGAUUUAAACAUUAUUUUAUGAAUAAUUGAUUCUUAGUAAAGAUUAAAAGAUUAAAUUACCUAAGGGAUAACAGCGUAAUAUUUUUAGAGAGUUCUUAUUAAUAGAAAUGUUUGCGACCUCGAUGUUGGAUUAAAUUUAAUUAUAGGUGCAAAAGCUUAUAAAUUUGGUCUGUUCGACCAUUAAAAAUUUACAUGAUCUGAGUUUAGACCGGUGUGAGCCAGGUUGGUUUCUAUCUUUAUAAUAUUUUAAUAUUUUAGUACGAAAGGACCAAAUAUUAGUAUAAAAUAUUUAUUUAGAAUAAAUGU